rnacentral:lncRNA from 1 species
UAUAUAUAUUCAAAUUCGAUAGUGUAAUAUACCGGAUUUUUAAUAUAAAAAUAAAUAUAAUAAAUAUAAAUAAAAAUAGUAUAAGAUACUAUUUUUAUUGGACUUGAAGAAGUAAAAUAUAAGUCGAAAAUGACUUAUACUGAAAUCGGAACGGAAACAAAAAAUUUAGAAUUUUUUGUAAGAAACGGGGCUGAUAUUUUAACAGAAAAUUCACAGUGCCAGAAAAUUAUAAAAACUUGGGAAUAUGUCAGAAUUAUUUUUAUCAGGCUAGAUUUAAAGUUUCAUGUCAUUUUGACACCCGGAAAGUGGAAAAUAAAAUCCGACUGCUAUCUGCCAGAGAUUUUAGUUCGGUAGAGCUUUCGGUGACCAGAAAUUGUCCAAACUGGAAAGUUAAGAUAUUUUUCUUUUAUUUAACUUAAAUUGAGCCUGACUGUCAAAUUUGAGCAAAAACGGACAUUCAGAAGGGCUCCGGCGAAAGGUAUCAGAUUUUGAGCUGCUAACUGGAAUUGUGUUGAUGUGAGGGGCUUUGUAAAAAAAGGGUUUUUUUCCCCUUUUCUUCCUCCUUCCCAGCCGAACACACCACACACAACACGCACACACACACGCAUGGUGAGGGAGAGAGAAACCCUCCCUUUCUCUCUCUAAAUAUAUCUCUCAUCUAUCUAGAU